rnacentral:rRNA from 1 species
CUGAGUUUGAUCCUGGCUCAGAUUGAACGCUGGCGGCAGGCCUAACACAUGCAAGUCGAGCGGUAACAGAGAUGUAGCUUGCUACUUUGCUGACGAGCGGCGGACGGGUGAGUAAUGCUUGGGAACAUGCCUUGAGGUGGGGGACAACAGUUGGAAACGACUGCUAAUACCGCAUAAUGUCUACGGACCAAAGGGGGCUUCGGCUCUCGCCUUUAGAUUGGCCCAAGUGGGAUUAGCUAGUUGGUGAGGUAAUGGCUCACCAAGGCAACGAUCCCUAGCUGGUUUGAGAGGAUGAUCAGCCACACUGGGACUGAGACACGGCCCAGACUCCUACGGGAGGCAGCAGUGGGGAAUAUUGCACAAUGGGCGCAAGCCUGAUGCAGCCAUGCCGCGUGUGUGAAGAAGGCCUUCGGGUUGUAAAGCACUUUCAGUCAGGAGGAAAGGUUAGUAGUUAAUACCUGCUAGCUGUGACGUUACUGACAGAAGAAGCACCGGCUAA